rnacentral:rRNA from 1 species
GGGAAACCGGAGCUAAUACCGGAUAAUAUAUUGAACCGCAUGGUUCAAUAGUGAAAGACGGUUUUGCUGUCACUUAUAGAUGGAUCCGCGCCGCAUUAGCUAGUUGGUAAGGUAACGGCUUACCAAGGCAACGAUGCGUAGCCGACCUGAGAGGGUGAUCGGCCACACUGGAACUGAGACACGGUCCAG